rnacentral:rRNA from 1 species
CCUACGGGAGGCAGCAGUGGGGACUAUUGCACAAUGGGGGAAACCCUGAUGCCGCGACGCCGCGUGAGCGAUGAAGUAUUUCGGUAUGUAAAGCUCUAUCAGCAGGGCAGAAAAUGACGGUACCUGACUAAGAAGCCCCGGCUAACUACGUGCCAGCAGCCGCGGUCAUACGUAGGGGGCAAGCGGUAUCCGGAUUUACUGGGUGGAAAGGGAGCGUCGACUGCGGUGCAAGCCAGAUGUGAAAGCCUGGGGCUCAACCCCGGGACUGCAUUUGGAACUGUGCUGCUAGAGUGUCGGAGAGGCAGGCGGAAUUCCUAGUGUAGCGGUGAAAUGCGUAGAUAUUAGGAGGAACACCAGUGGCGAAGGCGGCCUGCUGGACGAUGACUGACGUUGAGGCUCGAAAGCGUGGGGAGCAAACAGGAUUAGAUACCCUUGUAGUC